rnacentral:rRNA from 1 species
AUGGCCUACGUCCCUCCCCACAAGCGCCACUCGAGCACCUCCGAGCCGACCCCAACCCCUUUCCCGCUCUCAUCCUCCCUCCAUUCCCUCUCCAUCUCCUCCCCUUGCGGGCGUCACCACGUUCCCCCGUCCAACAAGAUCAUCCACGCCGUAGACUGCGUCUCCCGCUGGUUCCCGCUCCCGCCCUUCUCCGACGACGCUGAAUUUGUCCGCCUCGAGCCCUUCCCCUGCUACACCGUCGAGCGCAUGACCGGCGCCAAGCCCCUCGUCCUUGCCCUCUCCUCCCCAUCCUCCGGCUACACGGAGGCCGCGGACGCGGCCGCAGUCAUCGCCGAGAGGUUCUUGCCGGACCUCUUAUACGCGGCGGAGAAGGCGAGAGCGAGGACGCACGAUGUGCCCAGGGAAGACGAGGAGGCAAAACUGAGUCUCAUGGCAAGGGUGGGCAAGGUCCUGUUCCAACGCUUUUGUGUUGGUGGAUCGCCCGUCUCCCUGGACGCCGUCCGCGACCUCUCAGAGGCAGGGACAGAAGGAUCCAAGAGCCCGGUCCGUAAAACGUUCCAUACGAAUAUGCCCAGUGAUUUCUUGGAUGACAUGGAGCGACUCGCUGUGGAGAGGAUGGGGCUGGAGUUCGUUUCAACAAAAGAGCACUACCAUGUCAAGGUGGUCGACAAGCAGGGAGUGGUUUCCAAGAUGUCUUGCAAAUGCGCUUUGCAAGAAGAUGGGAAGCUUGCAAUCAACAAGAUUGAAUUGAACCAGAUACGACCCUUAUUGGAAGACGUAUCCUGCCUGUCGAAAGAUCUUGAUUUAAGGCUGAUGUUGAAUACGAAUAGGAUCCUAAUAGACUUGCAGCCUGAAGUGGAAAAUGCCAUCAAGAGCUUAGUGUCUUCAGCUAUUGUUGAUCCUAAUGCCAGAGGGGGGCUUAGACGGCCACUUGGGAACAAGUUGAUUGAUGAGAGGUUCAGCAUAGCUGGAGUGUGGCAUACAAACUACAAGGCUUUUGAGAAUAAAUCCUUGAAGAUGUAUCUAAGGCAUACUGGUCGGUUUGUCCAAGGGAGCUCCACUAGAGAGGUUUCCAAUGAAGUUAGCUUCAAAUUAACUGGCAUAUCCAAGAGACUUCAGAACAGCACAAUGACUAUGUCUCCUUAA